AGACAGCCGCAGGUUGUAAGGACUAUAACUACUGCAGGACAUAUUACAACAACUUGUGCGACUCCUGAUCGUGAAGAAGCACAACAUGUGAGGGAUAUUCCGAAAUCGGAGCCCUAUGAACAAUCAAUACCGAGAAGUCACUACGAAUACAACAAUGAAAA